CCAAUCGAACUAACCUGAUUACAAUAAUUAGAACUCUUUCUAAUUGAUGAUUAAAUUAAACUCUUUAAUUUGAUCAAACCCACAAGAUAAGAUGAUAUCUGGCAAUGUAUCAUGUUUACUUGAAAGAUAUAAAAUUUUAGUAAAAAUAUUAAAAAUUUCUUUCAGUGAAAAGUUAUCGUGCAAUUUGAUCCUACGAUCUCCCUGCACCCCGAAUAUGACUCCGGAUAUGGAAUGAUGUCAAAUCUAAUAUCAUACUCAUAUUUUUCUCAAUCUUAUAUGAUGAUUUAAUUAAUAAAAUAU
rnacentral:lncRNA from 1 species